rnacentral:rRNA from 1 species
CACGAGCGCACCCUCGUUCUAUGUUGCCAGCACGUGAUGGUGGGGACUCAUAGGAGACUGCCGGGGUCAACUCGGAGGAAGGUGGGGAUGACGUCAAAUCAUCAUGCCCCUUACGUCUUGGGCUUCACGCAUGCUACAAUGGCCAGUACAAAGGGCUGCGAUACCGUAAGGUGGAGCGAAUCCCAAAAAGCUGGUCUCAGUUCGGAUUGGGGUCUGCAACUCGACCCCAUGAAGUCGGAGUCGCUAGUAAUCGCAGAUCAGCAACGCUGCGGUGAAUACGUUCCCGGGCCUUGCACACACCGCCCGU